rnacentral:misc_RNA from 1 species
CAUUCAGUAGCCCAGCUACUUGUUUACACCCUUGUCUUUUUGCGUACUUAUCGUUUCCUCGGCGGGCUUGCCUGCCGGUUGGACAACUUUAUAACCUUUUUAAAUCUUCAAUCAGCGUCUGAAUAAUAUACAAUAUUUA